rnacentral:lncRNA from 1 species
CCUCUGAGCCAUCUCUCCAGCCCCAGAGUAGUAUCUUGCUUGUAUCUCUUGAGAGGUUCAGGGAGAGAUCAACCUGGUGAUUGUUUGGGGUGCAGGAGCUGGACUGUGACUGGCAACAGGCAGCAAGCAGUGUCCUGGUGGCUGUGGGGAAGCGAUUCAUCAACCAGGUGAUGGAGGAGGUGCUCAGCAGGUUCCAGCCUGGUGUUCUGCCACACUCCUCGGUGUUGCACACACUUGCCAGCCUGUCCGUGUCCAAUGCAUUUGGCAUGGUUCCCUUUCUGCCAUCCAUCCUGAGUACCAUGCUACCCAUGCUGGGUAUGGCCAAGCAGGAUGCGCUGAGGGUGGUAUUCUGCUGUGCAGAGUGGCCAUUCACUUGGAAGUACAUUCUUAUGCCUGAAAAUCACUCUAAGAUCCUUGAGAUCAGAAGGAAGAGCCUUGGGGCUGAGAGGAGCUGAGGAAUCCCAAGUCUCCUGCAGUUUUCAGGCCCUUCUAAUCUUAUAUCAGCAACCAAGAAUAGAGGGAGUUGAGGCCGUUGCCCACCUAAACGGAACCCUCAGAAGCCCAUCCUCAGGGAAAGGGGGACUGA